GUGGGGAAUAUUGGGCAAUGGGGGAAACCCUGACCCAGCGACGCCGCGUGAGGGAAGACGGCCUUCGGGUUGUAAACCUCUUUUGUACGGGAAGAAGGAAGUGACGGUACUGUACGAAUAAGUCCCGGCUAACUACGUGCCAGCAGCCGCGGUAAUACGUAGGGGACGAGCGUUGUCCGGAAUUACUGGGCGUAAAGGGCGCGCAGGCUGUGCUGCAAGUCAGCUGUGAAAUGUCUGGGCUUAACCCGGGCAUGCGGUUGAGACUGCAGUGCUGGAGUGCUGUAGAGGCAAGUGGAAUUCCCAGUGUAGCGGUGAAAUGCGUAGAUAUUGGGAAGAACACCGGUGGCGAAGGCGACUUGCUGGGCAGCAACUGACGCUGAGGCGCGAAAGCCAGGGGAGCGAACGGGAUUAGAAACCCGGGUAGUCC
rnacentral:rRNA from 1 species